GACGAACGCUGGCGGCGUGCUUAACACAUGCAAGUCGAACGGAAAGGCCCUGCUUUUGUGGGGUGCUCGAGUGGCGAACGGGUGAGUAACACGUGAGUAACCUGCCCUUGACUUUGGGAUAACUUCAGGAAACUGGGGCUAAUACCGGAUAGGAGCUCCUGCUGCAUGGUGGGGGUUGGAAAGUUUCGGCGGUUGGGGAUGGAAUCGCGGGUUAUCAGCUUGUUGGUGGGGUAGUGGCUUACCAAGGCUUUGACGGGUAGCCGGCCUGAGAGGGUGACCGGCCACAGUGGCACUGAGGUGCGGCCCAGACGCCUUCGGGAGGAAGGAGUGGGGACCAUUGCACACAGGGCGGAAGCCUGAUGCAGCAUCGCCGCGUGCGGGAUGACGGCCUUCGGGUAGUAACCCGCUUUCGCCUGUGACGAAGCGUGAGUAACGGUACUGGGUAGAGAGGCACCGCCUAACUCCGU
rnacentral:rRNA from 1 species